UUCAAACACGGGUUCCCGUACGUUCACCGAAGUUAAGCAAUGUCAAGCCUGUUCAUGUACCUAGAUAGGGUGACCGCUGGGGAAUACCAGGUGCCGUAAU